rnacentral:rRNA from 1 species
UGUGUCGCAGCCGCGGUAAUACGUAGGGUGCAAGCGUUAAUCGGAAUUACUGGGCGUAAAGCGUGCGCAGGCGGUUGUGCAAGACCGAUGUGAAAUCCCCGGGCUUAACCUGGGAAUGGCAUUGGUGACUGCACGGCUAGAGUGUGUCAGAGGGGGGUAGAAUUCCACGUGUAGCAGUGAAAUGCGUAGAGAUGUGGAGGAAUACCGAUGGCGAAGGCAGCCCCCUGGGAUAACACUGACGCUCAUGCACGAAAGCGUGGGGAGCAAACAGGAUUAGAUACCCUGGUAGUCCACGCCCUAAACGAUGUCAACUAGUUGUCGGGUCUUAAUUGACUUGGUAACGCAGCUAACGCGUGAAGUUGACCGCCUGGGGAGUACGGUCGCAAGAUUAAAACUCAAAGGAAUUGACGGGGACCCGCACAAGCGGUGGAUGAUGUGGAUUAAUUCGAUGCAACGCGAAAAACCUUACCUACCCUUGACAUGUACGGAAGCCCCGAGAGAUCGGGGCGUGCUCGAAAGAGAGCCGUAACACAGGUGCUGCAUGGCUGUCGUCAGCUCGUGUCGUGAGAUGUUGGGUUAAGUCCCGCAACGAGCGCAACCCUUGUCAUUAGUUGCUACGAAAGGGCACUCUAAUGAGACUGCCGGUGACAAACCGGAGGAAGGUGGGGAUGACGUCAAGUCCUCAUGGCCCUUAUGGGUAGGGCUUCACACGUCAUACAAUGGUACAUACAGAGGGCCGCCAACCCGCGAGGGGGAGCUAAUCCCAGAAAGUGUAUCGUAGUCCGGAUUGCAGUCUGCAACUCGACUGCAUGAAGUUGGAAUCGCUAGUAAUCGCGGAUCAGCAUGUCGCGGUGAAUACGUUCCCGGGUCUUGUACACACCGCCCGUCACACCAUGGGAGCGGGUUUUACCAGAAGUAGGUAGCUUAACCGCAAGGAGGGCGCUUACCACGGUAGGAUUCGUGACUGGGGUGAAGUCGUAACAAGGUAACCA